GACGAACGCUGGCGGCGUGCUUAACACAUGCAAGUCGAACGAUGAAGCCGGAGCUUGCUCUGGUGAAUUAGUGGCGAACGGGUGAGUAACACGUGAGUAACCUGCCCUUGACUCUGGGAUAACUGCUAGAAAUGGUAGCUAAUACCGGAUACGACCCUAGGAGGCAUCUCCAGGGGGUGGAAAGAAUUUCGGUCAAGGAUGGACUCGCGGCCUAUCAGCUAGUUGGUGAGGUAACGGCUCACCAAGGCGACGACGGGUAGCCGGCCUGAGAGGGUGACCGGCCACACUGGGACUGAGACACGGCCCAGACUCCUACGGGAGGCAGCAGUGGGUAAUAUUGCACAAUGGGCGCAAGCCUGAUGCAGCAACGCCGCGUGAGGGAUGACGGCCUUCGGGUUGUAAACCUCUUUUAGUAGGGAAGAAGCGAAAGUGACGGUACCUGCAGAAAAAGCACCGGCUAACUACGUGCCAGCCGCCGCAGUAA
rnacentral:rRNA from 1 species